GAGCCUGUAGUUCAGCCUGGCAGAACGCUGCUCUGAUAAGGCAGAGGUCCACAGUUCAAAUCUGUGCAGGCUCA
rnacentral:tRNA from 1 species